UACGAACUGUGCAAACGUUAUUCGGAAUCACUGGGCUUACAGGGUGCGUAGGCGGCCAGACAAGUAGGGUGUGAAAGCCCCCGGCUUAACCGGGGAGUGGCGCCCUAAACUGUAUGGCUGGAGUGAGAUAGGGGUGUGCGGAACUUCCGGUGGAGCGGUGAAAUGUGUUGAUAGCGGAAGGAACGCCGGUGGCGAAAGCGGCACACUGGAUCUCAACUGACGCUGAGGCACGAAAGCCAGGGGAGCGAACGGG
rnacentral:rRNA from 1 species